rnacentral:rRNA from 1 species
AGCGAACGCUGGCGGCAGGCCUAACACAUGCAAGUCGAACGAACCUUUCAGGGUUAGUGGCGGACGGGUGAGUAACACGUGGGAACGUGCCUUUAGGUUCGGAAUAACUCAGGGAAACUUGUGCUAAUACCGAAUGUGCCCUUCGGGGGAAAGAUUAAUCGCCUUUAGAGCGGCCCGCGUCUGAUUAGCUAGUUGGUUGAGGUAAUGGCUCACCAAGGCGACGAUCAGUAGCUGGUCUGAGAGGAUGAUCAGCCACAUUGGGACUGAGACACGGCCCAAACUCCUACGGGAGGCAGCAGUGGGGAAUCUUGCGCAAUGGGCGAAAGCCUGACGCAGCCAUGCCGCGUGAAUGAUGAAGGUCUUAGGAUUGUAAAAUUCUUUCACCGGGGACGAUAAUGACGGUACCCGGAGAAGAAGCCCCGGCUAACUUCGUG